GAUGAACGCUGGCGGCGUGCUUAACACAUGCAAGUCGAACGGGAAAUCUUUCAUUGAGACUUCGGUGGAUUUGAUUUAUUUCUAGUGGCGGACGGGUGAGUAACGCGUGGGUAACCUGCCUUAUACAGGGGGAUAACAGUCAGAAAUGGCUGCUAAUACCGCAUAAGCGCACAGAGCUGCAUGGCUCAGUGUGAAAAACUCCGGUGGUAUAAGAUGGACCCGCGUUGGAUUAGCUAGUUGGUGGGGUAACGGCCCACCAAGGCGACGAUCUAUAGCCGGCCUGAGAGGGUGAACGGCCACAUUGGGACUGAGACACGGCCCAGACUCCUACGGGAGGCAGCAGUGGGGAAUAUUGCACAAUGGGGGAAACCCUGAUGCAGCGACGCCGCGUGAAGGAAGAAGUAUCUCGGUAUGUAAACUUCUAUCAGCAGGGAAGAUAGUGACGGUACCUGACUAAGAAGCCCCGGCUAACUACGUG
rnacentral:rRNA from 1 species